CUGAGUGUGGCAUAAUGGUUUGAGUGUUGGACUAUGACUCUGAAGGCCAGGGUUUGAUUUCCCACUCAGC